UGAAUACGAGAUGCUACGGCGUCGAAGCAGUCUAUGUCAUACUUCCAAGAAAAGCUUGCACUGUCAUAAACAAAUAAUGCCUGUACCAUAACCGACACAGGUGGGUAGGUAGAGUAUACUAAGGGGCGCGAGAUAACUCUCCCUAAGGAACUCGGCAAAAUGACUCCGUAACUUCGGGAGAAGGAGUGCCUUAUUUAUAAGGUUGCAAUAACAAGAUCCAAGCAACUGUUUAUCAAAAACACAGGUCUCCGCUAAGUCGUAAGACGAUGUAUGGGGGCUGACGCCUGCCCAGUGCCAGAAGGUUAAAGAAGUUGGUUAGUGUAUGCGAAGCUGAUGACUGAAGCCCUGGUGAACGGCGGCCGUAACAAUAACGGUCCUAAGGUAGCGAAAUUCCUUGUCGGGUAAGUUCCGACCCGCACGAAAGGCGUAAUGAUUUGGAUACUGUCUCGGAGAGAGGCUCGGUGAAAUAGACUUGUCUGUGAAGAUGCGGACUACCUGCACCAGGACAGAAAGACCCUAUGAAGCUUUACUGUAACUUGAAAUUGGAAUUGGACUUUGCUUGCGCAGUAUAGGUGGGAAGCGUUGAAAAUAUUCUUGCGGGAGUAUUGGAGCUAUCAGUGAGAUACCACUCUUGUAAUGUUAGAUUUCUAACUUUGAACCAUAAUCUGGUCAAAGAACAGUUUCAGGUGGGCAGUUUGACUGGGGCGGUCGCCUCCCAAAUGGUAACGGAGGCGUACAAAGGUUUCCUCUGAACGGAUAGAAAUCGUAUCUAGAGUGUAAAGGCAUAAGGAAGCUUGACUGUGAGACCUACAAGUCGAGCAGGGACGAAAGUCGGUCUUAGUGAUCUGACGGUACUGAGUGGAAAGGCCGUCACUCAACGGAUAAAAGUUACUCUAGGAUAACAGGCUGAUCCCCCCCAAGAGUUCACAUCGACGGGGAGGUUUGGCACCUCGAUGUCAGCUCAUCGCAUCCUGGGGCGGUAGUACGUCCCAAGGGUUGGGCUGUUCGCCCAUGAAAGCGGUACGCGAGCUGGGUUCAGAACGUCGUGAGACAGUUCGGUCCAUAUCCGGUGUAGGCGCUAGAAUAUUGAGAGGAGCCUUCUUUAGUACGAGAGGACCGAGAAGGACACACCGCUGGUGUACCAGUUAUCGUGCCAACGGUAAACGCUGGGUAGCUAUGUGUGGAGUGGAUAACCGCUGAAAGCAUCUAAGUGGGAAGCCCACCUCGAGAUGAGUAUUCCC
rnacentral:rRNA from 1 species